UAGGGAAUUUUGCGCAAUGGGCGAAAGCCUGACGCAGCAACGCCGCGUGAGGGAUGAAGGUCUUCGGAUUGUAAACCUCUGUUGAGCGGGAAGAAUCUCUUCCGGAAUAAUACCCGAGAAGACUGACGGUACCACUUGAGGAAGCUCCGGCUAACUACGUGCCAGCAGCCGCGGUAAUACGUAGGGAGCGAGCGUUGUUCGGAAUCACUGGGCGUAAAGGGAGCGUAGGCGGGAAUGUAAGUUGGAAGUCUAAUCUUCAGGCUUAACCUGAAAUCGGCUUCCAAUACUGCUUUUCUUGAGUAUGGGAGAGGAUGAUGGAAUUCCAGGUGUAGCGGUGGAAUGCGUAGAUAUCUGGAGGAACACCAGUAGCGAAGGCGGUCAUCUGGCCCAAUACUGACGCUGAGGCUCGAAAGCUAGGGGAGCAAACAGG
rnacentral:rRNA from 1 species